GUGGACAUGAACUAUGGUGGCCAGGGGGCUUCCUGAAGGACGUUGUGCUGGGACGGUCUAGAGGGGGAGGGCAGUGAAACAUGAGGAACUUGAGAGGAGACAGAGAAUGGGGCUCUCGCCUGAGCCCUGCCGCUCCCUGGCCAGUAUGGCCUUGGACAAGUCCCUGGCCAAUAAAUCCUUGAUUUAUUCCACAAAUCAGGCUAAACAGUGGUCUGGGCAGUGAUUGUGGCUGGUGACGGAAUAUGAUCUUUCCCCACCCCAUUUAAGAACUGAACCCUCAAGUCCCCCUUGGCCCACACCCCCCAAACCCUGCACGUCUGGGGUUAGGAGUCCAGCUGCUGGCUGGAGGUCUGGAUGGCGUUAGUUAGAAACAUAAGCCUGGGUUCUGGACAGGCCUGGCUUUGAGUCCCAGAUCCACCACCUUCUCAGAUGAGUCACCUUGGACAUGACUCUACUUGUCCCUGUUCUCAGUGUCCUAAACCAGUGUUGAUCUGAAAAAGUAGUUGUGAGAAUGAAAAAAAAAAUAAUGAUGCCUGAUACUUACUGGAAAAUUCUGGUACCCAAAGUUCCAAGAGUAUGACUGAUUUUUUUUUUCAUUAAAUUUCCUAACCACCCUGUGAAGCUAUUAUUCUCAUUUACAGAUGUGGCAAUGGAAGAACAGAGUGGUGGUGAUCAUUGCCCAAGGUCACACCCUUGUUCUGCUUGGCUUAGUGUCUGUCCCACAGGAAAUGCCUCAGUUACAAUUGUAACUAGUUCUGACACAUGGGUCCCACACACGCAUCUCCCUGUCUCUGGAAUGAGGAUGUGUCUGACAACUGAUGUCCAAGGAGCAUGUCAGCCAGCAGGCGGAGGGGGAGUUAGGUGUCCUCACUGUCUCUGGCCAGUCCCUCAGAUGGCUGAGAUCAAGCCUGAUGGAAUUUUAUCAGAUUGAAUCCCUAAUUAUCCCUUACAGUGGCUUCUAAAAUGAUGCCACAUGGAAAUAGAAGGUUAUUGAGUGUUCAGAAGCCUACCAUCACCCAGACAAAACAAAACUUGCCAAAUUCAUCCAA
ensembl:lncRNA